rnacentral:lncRNA from 1 species
UCUUCCCCAUCGACACCUAUUGACCAUCAUUGACCAGCGUUGACCACCGCAUGACCACCCUACUGCCGUCGCCAGAAAUCGCCUCACGGCGGCGGCCGACAACCAAACGGCCCCAAAAUUACACUCUUUAACCACCAUGACCUCCUCUACCCCGUCCCAUAAUCAGUUCUCUUCGAGCACCACCCCUCCACCUCGAAUAUCCAUUAAAAGGUCGCCGGAAACCCUUCCUCCGGCGACCUCAUUCCAUAGUCGGCCAAAAUUACACCACUAAGACACCCUAACUUCCCCAUUCCAACCAUGCACCUCACCACCCUCAAAUCCCUAUGGAACUCCUUGAAUCUUCAUCCGAAGCUAAACCCUAAAUCCCAAACUUGGCGGAAAAGCCUCAAAACCCUCCCAGACAGUCUUUGACCCUCCUUUACACAAACCAUGCCACCUUUGAGUCUCAAACAACCCCCAACCGCUCAAAAUCCCAAAUCUGAGACCAAUUGAGAUCUCAAGACUUCAACCCCCCCCCCCCCCCCCGAGCUUCGAAGUCUAUUAAACACUAUCCUGGGAGUCUCAGAACCCCUGUGGAAGAAUAAGGUCCACUCGAGUCAGUUCAAAUGCAAAUAAGAAGCUAAGUUUUCUUGCCUUUUUUCUAUUUUCUUUAGCUUGGUAUGCUGGACUUCUGUUAGUGACUGAUUAAUUGCAUGUUUAAAAACUUGAAUUGCUUUUAUAAGACUUUCUUUUGAUUGUUUGUCUUAAUUAUCCGUAAAGCCAUCUGAAAAAUAGGGUUCUGGUUCAUAUGAUUGUUUGUUUGUCAUUAACUUGGGAUAACUGAUUAGGUCCAAUUCUAGUUGUUUAUCUGGUUGUCCAAUAAAGUUCUUCUGGAAAAAGGUUUUUCAAUGUUCAUGAAGUUGUUUGACACUAGUCUGAAAAUUCCCUCAUCUCUUGAUAGUUGUAUAUUCAGUUUCUUGACCUGAAAAUUUAGUUAGUCCCCCAGUAAUGUGAUUUUUAGGCUUAAUUUACAUAUAUAUUCUUAUUCUAUAAUUUCUUAUGCUUCCUAAGGUGAUCCUUGAUUGAAAAUUGAUGUGUAUUCAGUUUGCUGAGUCAUGUUGAUUGGAACUAUCCUGAAAGUUAAGUUGAUAGAUAUAUGCAUUCUUUCUAGAUAUUUGAUUUCAUGUUCUGUUAAUCCUGUAUAGAAGUCUGUUAAUUUUUGGUUAAUCCUGAUCUUCAUGAGUCUGCUGAUAUGAAUUUGACCCAAGUUUGAUUGACUAAGGUUAACUGUGAUUACAUUAGGGCAAAAAAACUAACCAAGGUUAAUUGUGAACAGACUAAGUUUAAAAGAACUAAAUAGGGUCAAAAUUCAGGGGUGGGGUAAUUUAGGAACGCUAGUGAGGGUAUAAAAGGGUUUUUAAUCUGUAAAAUAUGAUAAGGAAUCAUGUAGAACCUUCUAGUAGGGACUAAUAUAUAAUUCCAGCCUCAAACUUAAGGCAAAGUUAAGAAUUGAAUGACUACUUAGGCAAAAAUACAAUUUGAGAUGAGGACUAAGAAGAAACUAGUAAAAAUCUGAUGCCCUAACUGUUUUGCUAUAAAUAAAACCAUUUGGGGGCAUUGGAGGGGGAUCCAGAAACCUUUAUCUUUAACACUAGAGCUAGAAAUACUGAUCCGGAACUUUACUCUUCAAUACUAGAGCUAAAAUACUCAUUUCAUAUCUGAAAAUACUAUCAGUACUAUUUUGAAUCAAUUUCUGGAAACUGAAUUCUCUGAACACUCUGUUGAAGUCCUGGGUGCACUUUGCAUUUGGCUGUUGAUUGCUCAGCUGAUCACUUCUAUUUUACUUAUAGGUUGUUCCCUUUGCUGCAUUACAGGUACC